rnacentral:rRNA from 1 species
CAGCAGCAGCCGCGGUAAUACGAAGGGGGCUAGCGUUGUUCGGAAUUACUGGGCGUAAAGGGCGCGUAGGCGGCCAUUCAAGUUAGAUGUGAAAGCCCUGGGCUCAACCUAGGAAUUGCAUUUGAUACUGUUUGGCUUGAGUUCGGGAGAGGUGAGUGGAAUUCCCAGUGUAGAGGUGAAAUUCGUAGAUAUUGGGAAGAACACCAGUGGCGAAGGCGGCUCACUGGACCGACACUGACGCUGAGGCGCGAAAGCGUGGGGAGCAAACAGGAUUAGAUACCCCAGUAGUCCCUGUCUCUUAUAC